UACAUGAAGCUGGAAUCGCUAGUAAUCGCAGAUCAGAAUGCUGCGGUGAAUACGUUCCCGGGUCUUGUACACACCGCCCGUCACACCAUGGGAGCCGGGAAUGCCCGAAGUCGGUGACCCAACCGUAAGGAGGGAGCCGCCGAAGGCAGGCCUGGUAACUGGGGUGAAGUCGUAACAAGGUACC
rnacentral:rRNA from 1 species